rnacentral:lncRNA from 1 species
GUAUCAGUAUUAUUCACUCCCUUGAUGUAAUUGGCAAGUUAAAACUUUUUCCCUGAAUCUUGAUUGCAGAUUUAUAUUUUCUCCAGAUGUUAAUACUAGAAAUUUACAUGUACACUGUGUAACAAUUUUACAUUCCUGUCUCCUUGUAGGAGUUAAAAAAAAUAACAGCUUUCUAAGUUUUUAAUUCCUUCAAUUUAAAAAAAAAUCCUUUAAUAAUAUGCUGUCCAUUUUCAGUGUUUAAAGAUGUCUUCUCUUAUGAUAUACAAGAAUAAUAAUUACAGGAGAAUUUGUUUAGGCUCUUUUUAGCUUUAGUUCCUCUGUUUGAUCAACUAUUUUGAUUAGUGCAGUUUUUUCUGGCUUUUUUUUUGUUUUGUUUGUUUUUCUAGUUUCAGAUGCAAGUGAUUCUGAAAAGUAAAUAUGUGGAACAUUUCAUUGAACAAGUGAAAGGCUGGAAAAGUAAAUAAAACAUGGCAGAUUCUGUCAUUUCUAUUUGGAUGGAGUUUCAACAUGUGGUAUCUUCAUCAAACAUUUAGUGACUGACAUAACAAAUAAAGAAAAUGUGAUGGAAGCUGUAAGAAAACCGAAGGUGUAUGAAAGCUUUGAAGCUCUGCAGCAGAGAAGCCAUCCUGGCCUGUGAAGAGAGACAGAGAGAACAGUGAGUUUUUGACCACCCAGCCCAGGUUGAACUUAGUGCUUUGCAAACCUGAUGGGCUUUAGAUGCAGAAAUGUCAUCCAGUAGGCUGAAAGAGAGCUCGGCAACAGCCCUGAAGGAUUGCCACUAGAAGCAGGUAUUGAUAUCUCCUUUUUGUUUCAUUCAGAGAAAAUAAAUACAGUGUGAAAAUAGUCGUAUAGUUUGCA